rnacentral:rRNA from 1 species
GUGGGGAAUUUUGGACAAUGGGCGCAAGCCUGAUCCAGCAAUGCCGCGUGCAGGAAGAAGGCCUUCGGGUUGUAAACUGCUUUUGUACGGAACGAAAAGGCUCUGGUUAAUACCUGGGGCUCAUGACGGUACCGUAAGAAUAAGCACCGGCUAACUACGUGCCAGCAGCCGCGGUAAUACGUAGGGUGCGAGCGUUAAUCGGAAUUACUGGGCGUAAAGCGUGCGCAGGCGGUGCUGUAAGACAGGCGUGAAAUCCCCGGGCUCAACCUGGGAAUUGCGCUUGUGACUGCAGUGCUGGAGUGCGGCAGAGGGGGAUGGAAUUCCGCGUGUAGCAGUGAAAUGCGUAGAUAUGCGGAGGAACACCGAUGGCGAAGGCAAUCCCCUGGGCCUGCACUGACGCUCAUGCACGAAAGCGUGGGGAGCAAACAGGAUUAGAUACCCUUGUAGUCC